CGGGGUGAGUAACGCGUGAGCAAUCUGCCCAUAUCAGGGGAAUAACAGUUAGAAAUGACUGCUAAUACCGCAUAGGACCACGGGGAGGCAUCUCUCUGAGGUGAAAGAUUUAUCGGAUAUGGAUGAGCUCGCGUCCCAUUAGGUAGUUGGUGAGGUAACGGCCCGCCAAGCCGACGAUGGGUAGCCGGCCUUAGAGGGUGAUCGGCCACAUUGGAACUGAGACACGGUCCAAACUCCUACGGAAGGCAGCAG
rnacentral:rRNA from 1 species